rnacentral:snoRNA from 1 species
GGGUCAACAUGAGAACUUACCCUUUUAAAGACAGAUGAUGGCAUGAAAAACAUACUCAAUAGGAUUACAAUGAGGUCC